rnacentral:tRNA from 1 species
GGCGAUGUAGCUUAAUCUGGUUAUGGCGUCACGCUCAUAACGUGAAAAUUGAGGGUUCAAAUCCCUCCAUCGCCA